GACGAACGCUGGCGGCGUGCCUAAUACAUGCAAGUAGAACGCUGAAGAGAGGAGCUUACUCUUCUUGGAUGAGUUGCGAACGGGUGAGUAACGCGUAGGUAACCUGCCUUGUAGCGGGGGAUAACUAUUGGAAACGAUAGCUAAUACCGCAUAACAAUGGAUGACACAUGUCAUUUAUUUGAAAGGGGCAAUUGCUCCACUACAAGAUGGACCUGCGUUGUAUUAGCUAGUAGGUGAGGUAAUGGCUCACCUAGGCGACGAUACAUAGCCGACCUGAGAGGGGGAUCGGCCACACUGGGACUGAGACACGGCCCAGACUCCUACGGGAGGCAGCAGUAGGGAAUCUUCGGCAAUGGGGGCAACCCUGACCGAGCAACGCCGCGUGAGUGAAGAAGGUUUUCGGAUCGUAAAGCUCUGUUGUAAGUCAAGAACGGGUGUGAGAGUGGAAAGUUCACACUGUGACGGUAGCUUACCAGAAAGGGACGGCUAACUACGUG
rnacentral:rRNA from 1 species